AAUGCUGAAGGCUUGAGUUUACCUCAAAAUUUAAAGACGUCGGCUCUAGUGGCUUAUUCUGAUAUGGAAAUGGAGCAUUAAACAUUGGUUAGGUUUUGAUACCCAGGAAAAAGAAACUUGGACCAGAAAUGGCUUAACGGGUCCUCUCAGAUUUUCCCACUUUGUUUUCGAGGAGCAAUAUAGGUUGCCAAGGUUUCACCAGACGGAGACACCUGCAGCUAUACGUGGCAUCUUACUGCUGGAACUAUAAAGGGGACCAACAGACAACAGAUGACAUGUUUCAGUAACGGCCUCAGCCUCCAUGGCUUGGCCCAGAUGGAAAUUCCAGACAGGAAUGAUGGGAAAUCAAAGAUGUUACAAGGGGAUUGCAAGAUGAGGCAGACAUGAUGGCUGAUAUAUCAGCUUUAUGACUUGAACCUGUCUUUGAUAUCAUUCAAUUUAUUGACGACAAAAGUCAUAAUCAUCCGCUCAGUUGGUGAUGCUGCAGAACAGGAGAGUCCCAUUUUCAUGACAGGAACUACGAAUUCUUCGACCAUGCUUGCAGCACUGACACGGGGAUGGGGUUUCCUCAUCAUGAUCAACUCUGUCUCUUCUGCGUUCUCUUCUUCGGAAAGCAUAGAUAGGUCAACAACAUCCAUGACAUGUUCGGGCAAGGCUACUUCGACGAAAUUGUGAAGGCUCUGAUCGUCUUUGAACAUGUCAUCUGUUGGACUUUUACCUGUAAACAUCUCCAGUAACAGUAUCCCAUAGCUGUAAAUAUCUCCGUGUAUUGAAGCUUGACCACCUAUGCCAUACUCUGCAACUUGUAACAGAUUUUAAUUAGUCAUUGAAUUUUGGCAAUUUCAUGUGUGCUAAUGUACACACAAACA
rnacentral:sRNA from 1 species